AGAGUUUGAUCAUGGCUCAGAUUGAACGCUGGCGGCAGGCCUAACACAUGCAAGUCGAACGGUAACAGGAAUCAGCUUGCUGAUUCGCUGACGAGUGGCGGACGGGUGAGUAAUGUCUGGGAAACUGCCUGAUGGAGGGGGAUAACUACUGGAAACGGUAGCUAAUACCGCAUAACGUCGCAAGACCAAAGAGGGGGACCUUCGGGCCUCUUGCCAUCAGAUGUGCCCAGAUGGGAUUAGCUAGUAGGUGGGGUAACGGCUCACCUAGGCGACGAUCCCUAGCUGGUCUGAGAGGAUGACCAGCCACACUGGAACUGAGACACGGUCCAGACUCCUACGGGAGGCAGCAGUGGGGAAUAUUGCACAAUGGGCGCAAGCCUGAUGCAGCCAUGCCGCGUGUAUGAAGAAGGCCUUCGGGUUGUAAAGUACUUUCAGCGGGGAGGAAGGGAGUAAAGUUAAUACCUUUGCUCAUUGACGUUACCCGCAGAAGAAGCACCGGCUAACUCCGUGCCAGCAGCCGCGGUAAUACGGAGGGUGCAAGCGUUAAUCGGAAUUACUGGGCGUAAAGCGCACGCAGGCGGUUUGUUAAGUCAGAUGUGAAAUCCCCGGGCUCAACCUGGGAACUGCAUCUGAUACUGGCAAGCUUGAGUCUCGUAGAGGGGGGUAGAAUUCCAGGUGUAGCGGUGAAAUGCGUAGAGAUCUGGAGGAAUACCGGUGGCGAAGGCGGCCCCCUGGACGAAGACUGACGCUCAGGUGCGAAAGCGUGGGGGAGCAAACAGGAUUAGAUACCCUGGUAGUCCACGCCGUAAACGAUGUCGACUUGGAGGUUGUGCCCUUGAGGCGUGGCUUCCGGAGCUAACGCGUUAAGUCGACCGCCUGGGGAGUACGGCCGCAAGGUUAAAACUCAAAUGAAUUGACGGGGGCCCGCACAAGCGGUGGAGCAUGUGGUUUAAUUCGAUGCAACGCGAAGAACCUUACCUGGUCUUGACAUCCACGGAAGUUUUCAGAGAUGAGAAUGUGCCUUCGGGAACCGUGAGACAGGUGCUGCAUGGCUGUCGUCAGCUCGUGUUGUGAAAUGUUGGGUUAAGUCCCGCAACGAGCGCAACCCUUAUCCUUUGUUGCCAGCGGUCCGGCCGGGAACUCAAAGGAGACUGCCAGUGAUAAACUGGAGGAAGGUGGGGAUGACGUCAAGUCAUCAUGGCCCUUACGACCAGGGCUACACACGUGCUACAAUGGCGCAUACAAAGAGAAGCGACCUCGCGAGAGCAAGCGGACCUCAUAAAGUGCGUCGUAGUCCGGAUUGGAGUCUGCAACUCGACUCCAUGAAGUCGGAAUCGCUAGUAAUCGUGGAUCAGAAUGCCACGGUGAAUACGUUCCCGGGCCUUGUACACACCGCCCGUCACACCAUGGGAGUGGGUUGCAAAAGAAGUAGGUAGCUUAACCUUCGGGAGGGCGCUUACCACUUUGUGAUUCAUGACUGGGGUGAAGUCGUAACAAGGUAACCGUAGGGGAACCUGCGGUUGGAUCACCU
rnacentral:rRNA from 1 species